GCAGAAGUGAUGGAAUUGGCAGACAUGCAGGAUUUAGGUUCCUGUGCCGCAAGGCGUGUGGGUUCAAGUCCCAUCUUCUGCA
rnacentral:tRNA from 2 species